GAGGGUAUAGCUCAGUUGUAGAGUGUAUGCUUAGCAUGCAUGAGGUCCUGGGUUCAGUCCCCAGUGCUUUCA
rnacentral:tRNA from 1 species